UACGUAGGGGGCGAGCGUUGUCCGGAUUCAUUGGGCGUAAAGGGUGCGUAGGCGGCGCGGUAAGUCGGGUGUGAAAUCUUGGAGCUUAACUCCGAAACUGCAUUCGAUACUGCCGUGCUUGAGGACUGGAGAGGAGACUGGAAUUUACGGUGUAGCGGUGAAAUGCGUAGAUAUCGUAAGGAAGACCAGUGGCGAAGGCGGGUCUCGUGGACAGUUCCUGACGCUGAGGCACGAAGGCCAGGGGAGCAAACGGG
rnacentral:rRNA from 1 species